AGCAUAUUAAUGAGGGGAGGAAAAGAAACUAACAAGGAUUUUCUUAGUAGCGGCGAGCGAAAAGAAAAUAGUUCAGCACUAAGUCACUUUGUCUUUAUGGCAAAUGUGAGAUGCAGUGUAUGGAAUGUCAAAUUUCUAGUAUGAGAAAUUAACGAUUUAAGUCCUUCUUAAAUGAGGCCAUUUACCCAUAGAGGGUGCCAGGCCCGUAUAACGUUAAUGAUUACUAGAUGACAUUUCCAAAGAGUCGUGUUGCUUGAUAGUGCAGCACUAAGUGGGUGGUAAACUCCAUCUAAAACUAAAUAUAACCAUGAGACCGAUAGUAAACAAGUACCGUGAGGGAAAGUUGAAAAGAACUCUGAAUAGAGAGUUAAAUAGUACGUGAAACUGCUUAGAGGUUAAGCCCGAUGAACCUGAAUAUCCAUUAUGGAAAAUUCAUCAUUAUGAUUUUAAUAUUUAUAAUAUUAUAAUAAUGGUGUGCAUUUUUUCUAUAAAGGACAUUGUAAUCUAUUAAUAUAAAUCAAUUUAUCAUAAGAUCGAUUGCAAAAGUUUAUUUGAAUUAUUUUGCUUGCAAUUUAACAGAGAAUAAAUGCUUUCGAUUUGAUAAAGUGUUGAUAGAUUUAUUAUAUAUAGUGCUUAAAUAUUUAUAUUUUAUAAUAGCAUAUUGAUCAUUGAUUUUUGUGUUUAUUAUAUGCACUUAUAUGAUUAACAAUGCGAAAGAUUCAGGAUACCUUCGGGACCCGUCUUGAAACACGGACCAAGGAGUCUAACAUAUUUGCAAGUUAUUGGGAAUAAAAACCUAAUAGCGAAAUUAACAUAACUUAUUAAUGGGAUUAGUUUUUAGCCUAUUUAUAGUCUAUUAAUUCAAUCCCGGGGCGUUCUAUACAGUUAUGUAUAAUAGUAUUUAUACUAUUUAUACCUCUAACUAGAGCGUACCUUGAGCAUAUAUGCUGUGACCCGAAAGAUGGUGAACUAUACUUGAUCAGGUUGAAGUCAGGGGAAACCCUGAUGGAAGACCGAAACAGUUCUGACGUGCAAAUCGAUUGUCAGAAUUGAGUAUAGGGGCGAAAGACCAAUCGAACCAUCUAGUAGCUGGUUCCCUCCGAAGUUUCCCUCAGGAUAGCUGGUGCAUUUAAAAAUUAUGUAAAAUAAUCUUAUCUGGUAAAGCGAAUGAUUAGAGGCCUUAGGGUCGAAACGAUCUUAACCUAUUCUCAAACUUUAAAUGGGUAAGAACCUCACCUUUCUUGGUAUGAAGGUUGUGGUUGUGAUAUAAUGUGCCCAGUGGGCCACUUUUGGUAAGCAGAACUGGCGCUGUGGGAUGAACCAAACGUAAUGUUACGGUGCCCAAAUUAACAACUCAUACAGAUACCAUGAAAGGCGUUGGUUGCUUAAAACAGCAGGACGGUGGACAUGGAAGUCGUAAUCCGCUAAGGAGUGUGUAACAACUCACCUGCCGAAGCAACUAGCCCUUAAAAUGGAUGGCGCUUAAGUUGUAUACCUAUACAUUACCGCUAAAGUAGAUGGUUUAUGUUCAAUUUCGGUUGGAUUAUAAACUUUGAAACUUUAGUGAGUAGGAGGGUACAAUGGUGAGCAUAGAAGUGUUUGGCGUAAGCCUGCAUGGAGCUGCCAUUGGCACAGAUCUUGGUGGUAGUAGCAAAUAAUCGAAUGAGACCUUGGAGGACUGAAGUGGAGAAGGGUUUCGUGUGAACAGUGGUUGAUCACGAGUUAGUCGGUCCUAAGUUCAAGGCGAAAGCCGAAAAUUUUCAAGUUAUAAUGAAAAUAAUGAAAACAUUGGUAGUAAUUGAACACUUGAAUAAUUUUGAACGAAAGGGAAUACGGUUCCAAUUCCGUAACCUGUUGAGUAUCCGUUUGUUAUUAAAUAUGGGCCUUGUGCUCAUCCUGGCAACAGGAACGACCAUAAAGAAGCCGUCGAGAGAUAUCGGAAGAGUUUUCUUUUCUGUUUUAUAGUCGUACUACCAUGGAAGUCUUUCGAAGAGAGAUAUGGUAGAUGGACUAGAAGAGCAUGACAUUUACUGUUGUGUCGAUAUUUUCUCCUCGGACCUUGAAAAUUUAUGGUGGGGACACGCAAACUUCUCAACAGGCCGUACCAAUAUCCGCAGCUGGUCUCCAAGGUGAAGAGUCUCUAGUCGAUAGAAUAAUGUAGGUAGGGGAAGUCGA
rnacentral:rRNA from 1 species